UCCUGGCUCAGAUUGAACGCUGGCGGCAGGCUUAACACAUGCAAGUCGAGCGGGGGAAGGUAGCUUGCUACUGGACCUAGCGGCGGACGGGUGAGUAAUGCUUAGGAAUCUGCCUAUUAGUGGGGGACAACAUCUCGAAAGGGAUGCUAAUACCGCAUACGUCCUACGGGAGAAAGCAGGGGAUCUUCGGACCUUGCGCUAAUAGAUGAGCCUAAGUCGGAUUAGCUAGUUGGUGGGGUAAAGGCCUACCAAGGCGACGAUCUGUAGCGGGUCUGAGAGGAUGAUCCGCCACACUGGGACUGAGACACGGCCCAGACUCCUACGGGAGGCAGCAGUGGGGAAUAUUGGACAAUGGGGGGAACCCUGAUCCAGCCAUGCCGCGUGUGUGAAGAAGGCCUUAUGGUUGUAAAGCACUUUAAGCGAGGAGGAGGCUACUUUAGUUAAUACCUAGAGAUAGUGGACGUUACUCGCAGAAUAAGCACCGGCUAACUCUGUGCCAGCAGCCGCGGUAAUACAGAGGGUGCGAGCGUUAAUCGGAUUUACUGGGCGUAAAGCGUGCGUAGGCGGCUUAUUAAGUCGGAUGUGAAAUCCCCGAGCUUAACUUGGGAAUUGCAUUCGAUACUGGUGAGCUAGAGUAUGGGAGAGGAUGGUAGAAUUCCAGGUGUAGCGGUGAAAUGCGUAGAGAUCUGGAGGAAUACCGAUGGCGAAGGCAGCCAUCUGGCCUAAUACUGACGCUGAGGUACGAAAGCAUGGGGAGCAAACAGGAUUAGAUACCCUGGUAGUCCAUGCCGUAAACGAUGUCUACUAGCCGUUGGGGCCUUUGAGGCUUUAGUGGCGCAGCUAACGCGAUAAGUAGACCGCCUGGGGAGUACGGUCGCAAGACUAAAACUCAAAUGAAUUGACGGGGGCCCGCACAAGCGGUGGAGCAUGUGGUUUAAUUCGAUG
rnacentral:rRNA from 1 species